GGGCCCUGGAAACAGGUUCAGGUGAAAGGCCAGCUCAAUUCCCCAAAGUCCCCAAGGUAAGGAGAGACAAAACUGGGACAAAGAAUAUUCUGCCAUCUCCACGCAGCAAGGCGGCUAAGAAAAGUGCUGAUUUGGGAGGCAAGAUCCAGACAGCUACUACCUGCAUGACCAUGGGCAAGUUAUAAUCCCAUGAAGAACAAGUUGAACAGAUACAUCUGCUGGCAGAAAAUAGGUUCUCACUUCCAGGAGCUAGUAUAGUGUUUUUCAGAGUAGGCAAUUAAAUGUUUAUUGAAUUCAACACCUGGGGACUUUGAGGGGCUUCCAAGAAAGAAGGGAGCAACGCUGGCCCCAAGGAUUCCUUUGCUGCACUCCACUGAGAUCCCAGUAGAAAAAUCUGAGAGUCAGGGGACCUGGGUUGGAAGCCCUACCACUUAGCUAGCUGUGGGACUCUGGGCAGG